AAUCAACGCUGGCGGCGUGCCUCAGACAUGCAAGUCGAACGAUUAAGACUUCCUUCGGGAAGUGCAUAAAGUGGCGCACGGGUGAGUAACACGUAAGUAAUCUACCCUCGAGUGGGGAAUAACGUUCGGAAACGGACGCUAAUACCGCAUAACGCAGCGGCACCGCAAGGUGACAGUUGUUAAAGGAGUAAUUCGCUUGAGGAGGAGCUUGCGGCAGAUUAGCUUGUUGGAAGGUAACGGCUUACCAAGGCUACGAUCUGUAUCCGGUCUAAGAGGACGGUCGGACACACUGACACUGAAUAACGGGUCAGACUCCUACGGGAGGCAGCAGUCGGGAAUUUUGGGCAAUGGGCGAAAGCCUGACCCAGCAACGCCGCGUGAAGGAUGAAGUAUUUCGGUAUGUAAACUUCGAAAGAAUGGGAAGAAUAAAUGACGGUACCAUUUAUAAGCUCCGGCUAACUACGUGCCAGCCGCCGCAAGU
rnacentral:rRNA from 1 species